AUAUUGGACAAUGGGGGCAACCCUGAUCCAGCCAUGCCGCGUGAGUGAAGAAGGCCCUCGGGUUGUAAAGCUCUUUUGUCCGGAAAGAAAAGCUUCGGGUUAAUACCCCGGGGUUCUGACGGUACCGGAAGAAUAAGCACCGGCUAACUUCGUGCCAGCAGCCGCGGUAAUACGAAGGGUGCAAGCGUUACUCGGAAUUACUGGGCGUAAAGCGUGCGUAGGUGGUUGUUUAAGUCUGAUGUGAAAGCCCUGGGCUCAACCUGGGAAUGGCAUUGGAAACUGGGUAGCUAGAGCGCGGUAGAGGGUAGUGGAGUUCCCGGUGUAGCAGUGAAAUGCGUAGAGAUCGGGAGGAACAUCUGUGGCGAAGGCGACUGCCUGGACCAGCACUGACACGGAGGCACGAAAGCGUGGGGAGCAAA
rnacentral:rRNA from 1 species